rnacentral:rRNA from 1 species
GGCUCAGAUUGAACGCUGGCGGCAGGCCUAACACAUGCAAGUCGAGCGGCAGCGGGAAAGUAGCUUGCUACUUUUGCCGGCGAGCGGCGGACGGGUGAGUAAUGCCUGGGAAAUUGCCCAGUCGAGGGGGAUAACAGUUGGAAACGACUGCUAAUACCGCAUACGCCCUACGGGGGAAAGCAGGGGACCUUCGGGCCUUGCGCGAUUGGAUAUGCCCAGGUGGGAUUAGCUUGUUGGUGAGGUAAUGGCUCACCAAGGCGACGAUCCCUAGCUGGUCUGAGAGGAUGAUCAGCCACACUGGAACUGAGACACGGUCCAGACUCCUACGGGAGGCAGCAGUGGGGAAUAUUGCACAAUGGGGGAAACCCUGAUGCAGCCAUGCCGCGUGUGUGAAGAAGGCCUUCGGGUUGUAAAGCACUUUCAGCGAGGAGGAAAGGUUGAUACCUAAUACGUAUCAGCUGUGACGUUACUCGCAGAAGAAGCACCGGCUAACUCCGUGCCAGCGGCCGCGGUAAUACGGAGGGUGCAAGCGUUAAUCGGAAUUACUGGGCGUAAAGCGCACGCAGGCGGUUGGAUAAGUUAGAUGUGAAAGCCCCGGGCUNCACCUGGGAAUUGCAUUUAAAACUGUCCAGCUAGAGUCUUGU